UACGUAGGUCCCGAGCGUUGUCCGGAUUUAUUGGGCGUAAAGCGAGCGCAGGUGGUUUAUUAAGUCUGGUGUAAAAGGCAGUGGCUCAACCAUUGUAUGCAUUGGAAACUGGUAGACUUGAGUGCAGGAGAGGAGAAUGGAAUUCCAUGUGUAGCGGUGAAAUGCGUAGAUAUAUGGAGGAACACCGGUGGCGAAAGCGGCUCUCCGGCCUGUAACUGACACUGAGGCUCGAAAGCGUGGGGAGCAAACAGG
rnacentral:rRNA from 1 species